AGUGGAAUUGAUAGAGCAUAUAGUAAUUCUUUUAUUUAACAUUUUUGAGGAACUGCCAAACUAUUUUCCAAAAUGAUUGUGCCAUUUUACAUUCCCACUGGCAAC
rnacentral:pre_miRNA from 1 species